GCGUAGAGGAAUGAUGCCAGGACGAUUC
rnacentral:sRNA from 1 species